rnacentral:tRNA from 1 species
GAGGUAUUAGUAAAAGUUACGCAACCUUGUCAAGGUUGAAUUAUAGGUGAAAUCCCUAUAUAUCUCU